GCACAAAGAAGUUUACUUCUUAGGUGUGCCUCGCUGCGUUAAACCCUCAAACCUUUUGAAUGUGUAGUUGAUGAAAACCCAGUCUUUAUAGUUGUCAUUUUCUGAAGGCAUAGGUGCUGAAGCUAAAAAUAAAAAUCAUUAGAAUAACAUUGAAAACAUCAAUUAGGAAUCAGGAGGGGAAAUUAUUUAACUAUUCAUUA